AGCGAACGUUAGCGGCGGGCCUAACACAUGCAAGUCGAGCGAGAAAGGGGGUUCGCCCCCGAGUACAGCGGCGGACGGGUGAGUAACACGUAGGUAAUUUUCCCUUGAGCGGGGGACAACGUUCCGAAAGGGACGCUAAUACCGCAUAAGUUCUUGGGUGCUUCGGCACUGGAGAGGAAAGCUAGGCCGCAAGGUCUGGCACUCGAGGAGAAGCCUGCGUCGCAUCAGCUAGUUGGUGGGGUAAUGGCCUACCAAGGCAAAGACGCGUAGCUGGUCUGAGAGGAUGAUCAGCCACACUGGGACUGAGACACGGCCCAGACUCCUACGGGAGGCAGCAGUGGGGGAAUAUUGGGCAAUGGGCGAAAGCCUGAUCCAGCAAUGCCGCGUGAGUGAUGAAGGCCUUAGGGUUGUAAAGCUCUUUACCCGGGAUGAUAAUGACAGUACCGGGAGAAUAAG
rnacentral:rRNA from 1 species